ACUCUAUUAAUGUGCAAAUCAUAAGUGAUGCGAAAAUGCGCCUCACUAAUGUUGUUGCGAGAUGGCCUGGCUCAGCUCAUGAUUCAUUCAUCCUGAGACAUAGUAGUGUGAGGAACAAACUUGAAAAUGGUGCUGUGCGUGAUGGCUGGCUUCUCGGUAAGAUAAGACAUUUAUUACCUUUUUGGUUACAGUUGUACAUUAUCUGUAUGAUGUAACCAUAUAACACGAUUAUUCAGGUGACAAUGGGUACCCGCUGAAGACGUGCCUCCUCACCCCUCUCGCCAACCCACUGACUGAACAAGAGCGACGUUAUACUGACCUCCACUCUCAGGCUCAGGGGGGUGGUAGAACGUACUAUAGGGCAGCUUAAGGGCCGUUGGCGCUGCCUGGAUAAGACUGGUGGAGUGCUGCUCUAUAGUCCACAGAAAGUGUGUCACAUCGUGCAAGCAUGUAGCAUUCUACAUAAUAUUGCACUCAUUCGUAACUUGCCCGUACCUGAAGAGAUGCGGUAUGAUGAACCUGACCCUGGACCACCAAAUGAUCAGCCACACCGGACAGCAUUACAAUGUCGAAUGAAUGUAAUUAACAGAAUGUAAAAACAGAUUCUAGGACUGCAUCAGUCAGCACACGGCCAGAUGAUCGCCCACCAGUUUCCGAGGCAGGGGUGUGUGAGCAGCCAGCUCCCGAAGAUGUGGUCGGCACAGAAGCAGCACCAUCAUCGCCUGGAACCAUGUCCUCCUCAUUUGGGUCAGCUUUUGUACUAUUGUCUAGAAGUAUAUAAACAGUAAUUAAUA